AUGGUUUUAUUGGUCAAGGAAUGGGCAAAAGCUCAAAACAUUAACGAUCCAAAAAAUGGAACCCUGAACUCCUAUUCACUUUGCUUACUUGUCCUUUUUCAUUUUCAGACAUGCAAGCCUGCAAUUUUACCAUCUAUGAAAGAGUUUUUUGAUUUUAACAUUCUAGGAGAAAUUGGGCCUUAUAAUGAAAAAAUUGUUGAUGAGAUCUGUGCCAGAAAUAUAGCAAAAUUCCGACGCCAGAACAUAGGGCAAAGAAAUCAGAGCUCUCUGUCUCAUCUCCUUGCGACUUUUUUUGAGAAGUACUGUUUGCAGUUUGGCCGUAUUGUUGUCCAUUCUAGUGAGGUUGUGUCCACUUACACGGGCCGGCUCCUGCGAAAACAAGGCGGCCUAUACUGGAUGACCAAAUCUUACUGCUUGUUUGUUGAAGAUCCAUUUCAGAGACCUGAUAAUGCAGCUAGAACAGUUGACGUGCCAGAGCUUCAGCGUGUUGUUAGAGCCUUCGAAAUGCUAAAAGUACAAUCUUCUCCGGUUGGCCGGCCGGCCGGAAUGAAUUGCUUUCGCUGCUGUGCACACCUGAAGUUGGUUCAAAACUAG
rnacentral:rRNA from 1 species